CACGUAGUUAGCCGUGACUUUCUGGUUAGGUACCGUCAAAGUCGAGACAGUUACUCCUCGACUGGUUCUUCUCUAAUAACAGAACUUUACGAUCCGAAGACCUUCUUCAUUCACGCGGCAUUGCUCCAUCAGGUUUGCACCCAUUGUGGAAGAUUCCCUACUGCUGCCUCCCGUAGGAGUCUGGGCCGUGUCUCAGUCCCAGUGUGGCCGAUCACCCUCUCAGGUCGGCUACGUAUCAUGGUCUUGGUAGGCCAUUACCCCACCAACUAACUAAUACGCCGCGGGAUCAUCUAAAAGCGACAGCAAAGCCGUCUUUCUUUCCAGAACCAUGCGGUUCAAGAAUCUAUGCGGUAUUAGCAUCCGUUUCCGAAUGUUAUCCCCCACUCUUAGGCAGACUUUCCCACGUGUUACCUCACCCGUUCGCCACUCAUCCCGCACUCUGCAAGCCAGAGUGCUUCAGCGUUCGACUUGCAUGUAUUGGCAUCGCCGCAGCGUUCGUCCG
rnacentral:rRNA from 1 species